rnacentral:lncRNA from 1 species
CUGGUAUCAAAGCUUUCGUUGUCGUGGUAGGUCUCACAAUCAUCCACAUAUCUACCUUUAGUUUAUCUACCGUUUGUUACUGUUUUGUUCAUCACCAAUAGUCCACUGAAAAAGCCACAAAAAAAUCCUAUAGACCUUUGUCGGUACUGUUAUCUUGUGUUUUUGUGUUAAUCAAGUUGCUAGUCACCAUCUUUAAAUAUUUUGUAUCAUGUUUCAUUUGUAUCCGCACCCCUGUUAGUAUAUAAAAGAGUUUAAAAAAAUCAGAGAAAAAGAAAAGUUAAGAGAAAAAAACAGAGAUAGAUAGAUCCAAAAGAAAAGUAAAAGAAGAGGAAAGGGGUUGUAUUGCGGUUUGCUCACUGAAAAAUCCAGUUUACAUAUUCAGAUUCUUGGUGAUGUAUAUACAUCAAACCACUUGGUUUUCUGUACCGUAGCCUCCCUUGUUUAGCCACC